AAAUUAUCUUUUAUAAUUUUCUAAAAAUUACAACAAAAAAAUGAAUAAAAUAUUCCAUAUUCUAUCAGCUCUUGUUUUGAUUUCAGGAUAUAGGCAAAUUGCAGAGGGAAAUCCAAUCAAUAAUCCUACUCUGAAUGAUGUUAAGUAUGCG